rnacentral:rRNA from 1 species
ACACUCCUACGGGAGGCAGCAGUGGGGAAUUUUGGACAAUGGGCGAAAGCCUGAUCCAGCAAUGCCGCGUGUGUGAAGAAGGCCUUCGGGUUGUAAAGCACUUUUGUCCGGAAAGAAAUCCUUGGCUCUAAUACAGUCGGGGGAUGACGGUACCGGAAGAAUAAGCACCGGCUAACUACGUGCCAGCAGCCGCGGUAAUACGUAGGGUGCGAGCGUUAAUCGGAAUUACUGGGCGUAAAGCGUGCGCAGGCGGUUUGCUAAGACCGAUGUGAAAUCCCCGGGCUCAACCUGGGAACUGCAUUGGUGACUGGCAGGCUAGAGUAUGGCAGAGGGGGGUAGAAUUCCACGUGUAGCAGUGAAAUGCGUAGAGAUGUGGAGGAAUACCGAUGGCGAAGGCAGCCCCCUGGGCCAAUACUGACGCUCAUGCACGAAAGCGUGGGGAGCAAACAGGAUUAGAAACCCCAGUAGUCCCAUG